rnacentral:rRNA from 1 species
GCAGUCGAGCGAAGCACUUAGGAAAGAUUCUUCGGAUGAUUUCCUAUUUGACUGAGCGGCGGACGGGUGAGUAACGCGUGGGUAACCUGCCUCAUACAGGGGGAUAACAGUUAGAAAUGACUGCUAAUACCGCAUAAGACCACAGCACCGCAUGGUGCAGGGGUAAAAACUCCGGUGGUAUGAGAUGGACCCGCGUCUGAUUAGUUAGUUGGUGGGGUAACGGCCUACCAAGGCGACGAUCAGUAGCCGACCUGAGAGGGUGACCGGCCACAUUGGGACUGAGACACGGCCCAAACUCCUACGGGAGGCAGCAGUGGGGAAUAUUGCACAAUGGGGGAAACCCUGAUGCAGCGACGCCGCGUGAGCGAAGAAGUAUUUCGGUAUGUAAAGCUCUAUCAGCAGGGAAGAAAAUGACGGUACCUGACUAAGAAGCCCCGGCUAACUACGUGCCAGCAGCCGCGGUAAUACGUAGGGGGCAAGCGUUAUCCGGAUUUACUGGGUGUAAAGGGAGCGUAGACGGAGCAGCAAGUCUGAUGUGAAAACCCGGGGCUCAACCCCGGGACUGCAUUGGAAACUGUUGAUCUGGAGUGCCGGAGAGGUAAGCGGAAUUCCUAGUGUAGCGGUGAAAUGCGUAGAUAUUAGGAGGAACACCAGUGGCGAAGGCGGCUUACUGGACGGUAACUGACGUUGAGGCUCGAAAGCGUGGGGAGCAAACAGGAUUAGAUACCCUGGUAGUCCACGCCGUAAACGAUGACUACUAGGUGUCGGGUGGCAAAGCCAUUCGGUGCCGCAGCCAACGCAAUAAGUAGUCCACCUGGGGAGUACGUUCGCAAGAAUGAAACUCAAAGGAAUUGACGGGG